GUCUUCGUGGUCCAACGGUCAAGAUUCCCGCCUGUCACGCGGGCGACCCGGGUUCGACUCCCGGCGAGGGCG
rfam:Monoraphidium neglectum strain SAG 48.87 unplaced genomic scaffold scaffold00131, whole genome shotgun sequence.